UACAGAGGGUGCGAGCGUUAAUCGGAAUUACUGGGCGUAAAGCGUGCGUAGACGGUCAUGUAAGUCGGAUGUGAAAGCCCCGGGCUCAACCUGGGAAUUGCAUUCGAGACUGCUCUGCUAGGGUGCGGAAGAGGGGAGCGGAAUUUCCGGUGUAGCGGUGAAAUGCGUAGAUAUCGGAAGGAACACCAGUGGCGAAAGCGGCUCCCUGGUCCAGCACCGACGUUCAGGCACGAAAGCGUGGGGAGCAAACAGG
rnacentral:rRNA from 1 species